GAUCCGAUAGCCUAGUGGUUAGAAUGUCCGCUUCGAAUGUGGGAAGUCGCGGGUUCGAACCCCGGCCGAGUCA